UACGAAGGGGGCUAGCGUUGCUCGGAAUCACUGGGCGUAAAGGGUGCGUAGGCGGGUCUUUAAGUCAGGGGUGAAAUCCUGGAGCUCAACUCCAGAACUGCCUUUGAUACUGAGAGGCUUGAGUCCGGGAGAGGUGAGUGGAACUGCGAGUGUAGAGGUGAAAUUCGUAGAUAUUCGCAAGAACGCCAGUGGCGAAGGCGGCUCACUGGCCCGGUACUGACGCUGAGGUGCGAAAGCGUGGGGAGCAAACAGG
rnacentral:rRNA from 1 species